rnacentral:rRNA from 1 species
UACAGAGGGUGCGAACGUUGCUCGGAAUUACUGGGCGUAAAGCGCACGUAGGCGGCUUUGUAAGUUAGAGGUGAAAGCCCGGAGCUCAACUCCGGAACUGCCUUUAAGACUGCAUCGCUUGAACGUCGGAGAGGUAAGUGGAAUUCCGAGUGUAGAGGUGAAAUUCGUAAGUAUUCGGAAGAACACCAGUGGCGAAGGCGACUUACUGGACGACUGUUGACGCUGAGGUGCGAAAGCGUGGGGAGCAAACAGG